rnacentral:rRNA from 1 species
GACGAACGCUGGCGGCGUGCCUAAUACAUGCAAGUUGAGCGAUGAAGCUUGGUGCUUGCGCCAAUUUGAAGAGCAGCGAACGGGUGAGUAACGCGUGGGGCAUCUGCCUUUUAGUGGGGGACAACAUUUGGAAACGAAUGCUAAUACCGCAUAACAACUUUAAACAUAAGUUUUAAGUUUGAAAGAUGCAAUUGCAUCACUAAAAGAUGAUCCCGCGUUGUAUUAGCUAGUUGGUGAGGUAAAGGCUCAACAAGGCGAAGAUACAUAGCCGACCUGAGAGGGUGAUCGACCACAAUGGGACUGAGACACGGCUCCAGCUCCUUCGGGAAGCAGCAGGAGGGAAACUUCGGCAAUGGGCGACAGUCUGACCGAGCAACGCCGCGGGAGGUAAAAAGGGUUUCGGAUCGGAAAACUCUGUUUGUAGGGAAGAAAGUUGGUGAGAGUGGAAAGCUCAUGAAGUGACGGUAACUACCCAGAAAGGAACGGCUAACUACGUG